UACGAAUGGGGCAAGCGUUGUUCGGAAUCACUGGGCUUAAAGCGUGCGUAGGCGGAUUUGCAAGUCAGAAGUGAAAUCCCUGGGCUUAACCCAGGAAUUGCUUUUGAAACUGCAAGUCUAGAAUCUUGAAGAGGUUAGCAGAAUUCCGAGUGUAGAGGUGAAAUGCGUAGAUACUGGGAGGAACACCGGUGGCGAAGGCGGCUACCUGGACGGGUACUGACGGCUGAGGCGCGAAAGCCAGGGGAGCAAACAGG
rnacentral:rRNA from 1 species